rnacentral:lncRNA from 1 species
GAACAGCCUACACCUCUCUAAUUAUAUUUUUCUUUCUCUCUUUCGUGUGGAGUGGAGAGCUGAAGCGGAGGAGCCGCGUAGAGGUAGCCGCGAAGCUCGGAUUCGCCGUCGACGUCGCGCCGUGGAGCCGUUCGAGCCUACGUUUGUCGCCGUAGCAUCACAAGGAGGCCGGGCGAGGGUGUGUUAUCGCCGUCCUCGACGUCGCACAGAUAUUAGGGUCGCUGUCGAGGUGGGUGUGCCGUCAAAUUGCUUCUUUAUUUCCAAGCUUCUUCAAAUUCGAGCUAGGUGCUGUCCCUGCAGAUUUUCAGCGUCAACCGUUGGCGUUUCGGCUCAUACUUGGUGUAGGAGCGUCGGAUUUCGACGGGAUUUGGUUCGUUGGAUUCAGGACUUCGAGAGGAAUCCACGAAGCCCUUAUUUUCUGGAUUUGGUGAAGGUUAGCUGGGUCGAAAUUAUGUUCUCCUCUGCUGCUGUGUUUCGGACAGAAUUUGAGUUGGAGUUCUUCGUUGCGAUGUGUGCAAGGCGAUUUCGAACUUGAGCUGGACACCCUUUCCAGUGGAUUUGGAGAUUUUUGGUGACCUCCUCCCUGCCGGGGUUUAGCGAUCGAGGUGGGUUUACAUUGGUUUAUUCCUAAGUACCGUAAUUGUCGACAUGUAUGAUUUUUAGUUUCGGUAAUCAUGUUGUAGUUUGAUAUUCAUGAUGCUAUCCUGGAUAUAAUCAGUAUUGAGAACAUGACUAGUAAGUCUUAAAUGUACAUGUUGGACUGGAUUUGACUUAGGAGAAAACACGAUUGGAAUCGUCAUAUGCUUAAACUGCCUGAUUUAGCUCUAGGAGCCGUUAUUAAAUUGUACUGUCGCAGUAUCUUCGAGACGAGUACUCCAGGUAGUUUAGAAUAUAUCUACACUCGUGCUGGUUCGCCGAGGGAAUUUUAUAGGGUCGUUCAGGCUGUUUCGGACUGUAGGGUGCCGUUGAGGUUGACGGUGGACCCGUAUCGCCUUUUUGGCGUCUGAUUGUGCCGAGGGCACGUUGUUGGUUGUUAGACCAGUUAGAGUCGAUUUUUUGACUUUGGCUUUUCAGAGCCUGUUUGAGGUCGACAGAGAUACGCUGCAUACUCGGUUGGGUAGCACCCACGAGUGCCACUCCGGAGUCAGGCUUUAUGCUUUCGCGUUGGUGUCGCUCAUGCCAGUUGGACUUGCUCUCCACGGACCAGUUAGUGUGGGUAGAGCCUGAUAGUCGCAACGGGGCAGGGACGGGUGUAUUCACAGUCCCGGGGACAGGUAUGCUUACAGUUCCGAUUGGAUUUGGUCAGUUUUGACAUUUCCUACAAUUGGUUAGCGUAGAGCAUGAUAGUGUAGUGAUUGAUAGCGGUAGAGUGUACUUCCUACUUUUCCUACUAUCCUUGCUCCCUUCUGUAGACUUAGUGGGUGACCGAUGUUGUUUUGGGCGGUACCCACUGAGGACUACUUGUUUUGUAGUAGUUCUCAUGCCCAGUUGUUACUCUUGUUUUGCAGAGCCACAGGUUUCGGCUGCUGCGCCUUCCGCCGAUCAGGAUCGAGGCAAGGGCGUCGCGAGUUAGAGCCCUACCCAACGAGCAGAGCUAGAGGCACCCCUACUGCAGGUAGAUGUUUUGUUUCGAGUUUAUGUAUAUAGUAGACUUAACUCGCCAGUGCGAGUAACUCUGUAUUUUGGAUUUGGACUAUGUAUAUGAAACUCAGUUUGUUUAACUUCUGUUUUCUCUAGCAGCUCUCUACUACUGUUCGUAGUAGUGUUUGACUUACAGGUACAGCUGUCGCUUCGUAUACAGAAAAAAUUUCUUUGUAUACGGCGGAUUUGUCGACGUGCCCGGGGAACGAGACAUCCGGGGCGUGACAAUGCAUUG